rnacentral:rRNA from 1 species
GACGAACGCUGGCGGCGUGCUUAACACAUGCAAGUCGAACGGAAAGGCCCUGCUUUUGUGGGGUGCUCGAGUGGCGAACGGGUGAGUAACACGUGAGUAACCUGCCCUUGACUUUGGGAUAACUUCAGGAAACUGGGGCUAAUACCGGAUAGGAGCUCCUGCUGCAUGGUGGGGGUUGGAAAGUUUCGGCGGUUGGGGAUAGACUCGCGGCUUAUCAGCUUGUUGGUGGGGUAGUGGCUUACCAAGGCUUAGACGGGUAGCCGGCCUGAGAGGGUGACCGGCCACAAUGGGACUGAGAGACGGCCCAGACGCCUACGGGAGGCAGCAGGGGGGAAUAUUGCACAGUGAGCGGAAGCCUGAUGCAGCGACGCCGCGUGCGGGAUGACGUCCUUCGGGGUGUAAACCGCUUUCGCCUGAGACGAAGCGUGAGUGACGGUAAUGGGUAAAGAAGCACCGGCUAACUACGUG